UAUCCUACGGGGGGCAGCAGUGGGGAAUAUUGCACAAUGGGCGAAAGCCUGAUGCAGCGACGCCGCGUGAAGGAUGAAGUAUUUCGGUAUGUAAACUUCUAUCAGCAGGGAAGAAGAUGACGGUACCUGACUAAGAAGCCCCGGCUAACUACGUGCCAGCAGCCGCGGUGAUACGUAGGGGGCAAGCGUUAUCCGGAUUUACUGGGUGUAAAGGGAGCGUAGACGGCCAGACAAGUCUGAAGUGAAAAUCCAGCGCUUAACGUUGGAAGUGCUUUGGAAACUGCCGGGCUAGAGGGCAGGAGGGC
rnacentral:rRNA from 1 species